GAGGCCCCGCCCUCACCGAGGAGGGAGGAGCGGGGGCUCUGAGGCCGGUGUUGUGGCCUCAGGGGACCGCGGAGAGGGAAGAGGAGGAGGAGGAGGAUGCGAGUGCGCACGGGAAACUGGCUGGUUUGCCUGCCGAAUUUAGCUGGCUGGUGUGUGCAUACGACCACUUCCUGGCAGACGUUCAGAUCUGUCACCUCUCUGUGGAAUGCUGGAGCCGGUUUCUGAACGACAUGGUUCUGACAUACAAGGCAUAAAUAUAGUAGUACAGGAACUACAGAGCUAACCUGAACACCAGGAACGCGCCAGUGGCAAGAAACAGAGUUUGAGCAACGAAAAAGCCAAUCACCGACGCCUUCUCAUACCAACAGCUCUGAAACCAAACUGACGUGAAAUUGGGGAUUUGAAAAUACUGCAUACGACCAGAGCUUUUCUUUGCUACUGCAGGAAUCCUAACAAGGGAGAAGAUAAUGAAGAAGACUGUCCCUUGUUUUCAGUCCUGGAAAAUCAUGUAAAAGUAUAACAGGCUUUUUUAGUCAUGCUGCAGCGUAUGCAAGAAAAGAAAGGAGUGGCUCCUGUAAGCGAACAAGGCCAUCUCAGCAGAUGACCAGCUGUGGACAUAAAGGAACGCAUUUCUAUCUGUUUUCCAUGUGUUCACCGUUAAAUUGCUAUCAGCUCCUGCGCAGUGAGAGCACAUAGGUUAAGUCGCACGUGAAAUGAAUGUGUUGAUGUGCGACAGACUUUUGCACGAAGAUGGUUAGAAACUGUUCAGCCCCAACUUUUAGGGUUCUCUCUCUGUUUUUUUGUUGUGAUUCCACAAAGUACUACAACCAUUACUGAAGAAACUCACUCUACCAUUGAUAGUGGUCCUUCCAGUUUUAAAAGCAGCCUUCGCUGCCCUGUGCAGCGCUUGGCUACGCUGUACCUUACCAAUAUUUAGGACCUUAUCCUUCAAACACUUGGUAUACAAUAUGCAAUCCUUCUGAAAAGUAAAAUUACGUGUGUAUAUAAUACACACAUGUUCUUGAAGACAAAGGCACUAUGAAAUAAAAAUUACACGUCAUAUGCCUUGUUCCUCUGCAAGUUGAACUCUUUCAGUAAAAUUGUUGUUGACUCCCACAGCAUGAAGAUGUGAACAAAGGUAUGACGGAUGUCAUUAAUGGUAGUGUUGCAUCUAUUUUCCCCUGUCUAUUGGAGGUAUCUAAGCAAUUUGCUGCCUUACAAAGAGCAUCCACCCUUUGAAAUACCCUUGCAAAGCUUAAGUAAGGCUUUUUAACUGGAAGAACCUGUAAGAACAACUUUUGAGAUAUCUGAAUCUAAGCAGAAAUCAACAGCUUCUCAAUCUGUAUCUGCUUUCUUUUUGUUCAUACAAUUAAUACUUUGGCUCAGCUACAAUGAGAAAUACAGGUGCAGUUUUCCAUUAAGCUAAUGGAAACUAUGAAAAUACUUUCCAAGGAAUUAAUUUGGCUACUAAGAUAUAAUAUAUCACAUUCCAAUUAACUCUAUGGUAAAAGAUGAUGAUUUCAUAACAACAAGGCUGCGAUUUCACUGUAGGGCC